rnacentral:lncRNA from 1 species
CUUCACAUCACCAUAUCUCCCAUACAUGCCCUCGAAUUUAUGCACCAUUGAUUAAUGUUAUAAUCUAUCUAAGGUCUUUGAUUUAAACUGCAUCCAAUCCAAUUCCAAGAGAAUAUCUUCACAUCCUCCAUCAUUUUUUCAUUGCUUACUCUUUUAUUAUGGAAACAGUUAUCGUUCCCUGCUUUCCAAAUACCGGCAAAUCAAAUCACACUUAUGCACGUUGAGAUUGCUUUUUCGUUGCUUAGCAAGCCUCCGAACUA